UUCAUAUAUACUUUAAUUUGGUUAUCUGCAUUUCUGAAUAAUAGCAUUUUCUUCUUAAACUAGGUUUUGUCAGGUGUGUUUUUUCUCUCUGAAACCAAAUCACGAAGACAUUUUACUAAUAAAAUUAUUAUUAGCAGAAUUCCUUAAUAUCCAUCUAGUAUAUCCAAAAGGCAAAGCUGGAGGUUUGGAGAUAGUAGUUCAUUGGAGUGUCAAUAUAAACCUAGAAACCUAAUUAAAAAAAAAUCAUGGCAUUUUUAACAGGAAAUCUCUGUUAAAGUAAUGCCAAAUGAUAUGGAAUGGGUAGUCAUAGGUGACUUUAACCAGGUUCUAGAACAAUCCGAGAAACAAGAAGACAUUUCUACAAUUUGGAAGCUGAGGCUUUCAAAAAACUAUUGGCAAGAGCAGGGCUUUUUGACUAGGGAUAUAGAGGUAGUAAUUUUGGAAAAAAGGAAAAUCGCAGAAGUGAAAAUUUCACCUCCUCUUCUUUCUCUCUCUUCUUUCUUCUCUCAGAAAUGGAGUAAAUCCUCCUAGGAUAAGCUUGGGGGCUUAGUUAAGGUAGCUAAAUAGGAGACGGGAUUGAGAGUUACACUUGCCACACAGAUUUCGGUAGGACUUGGGAGAUGAUUUCUAGUAGGAUAAAGGGCCGAUCAAAUUGAUUAAGCAAAGGUUUGUUUUAUUUCGAUUUCCUUUCAUUUUGAUGUCUUCUUGUUUCCCCUCUGUUGGGUUUGUUGCCUCUGUUAUUUUUUUUCGAUGAGUUCUUAGAUCUCUGCUGAGAGAUACUACUCCAUGAAUUUCUUUCCCUUUGGUUUAGCUCUUUGUCGAUUGAGCUAUUUCCAUCUUGCUUUUGUUCACUUGCUUUAAUUCAUUUGAAAAUUUUUGUUUGAAAGACUACAUAGUAACAAUAACAGGGAUGAAUUUGGGUGCUGACCUAAUUUCCCUUGUAAAAUCUAAACCGUGUAGUAAUUUUAAAAGGGAUGAAAUUGGCUUUUGAGCUAAAUUUCGUUGGUUGUAAGAUGAAUUAGUAACACUAUAAGGGAUGAAUUUAGGUUCUGACCUAAUUUCCGUUGAAAGACCUAAAAGCAUAUAGUAAAUCUAAAAGGGAUGAAAUUGGCUUCUGAGCUAAAUCCCGUUGGUUGUAAAAAGAAUUAGUAACACUAAGAGGGAUGAAUUUGGGUUCUGACCUAAUUUCCCUUGUAAGACCUAUAAGAAAAUCUAAAAGGGAUGAAAUUAGCUUCUGAGCUAAAUCACGUUGGUUGCGAGACGAAUUGGAAAUAUAACAAAGUUAAAAUGGGAUGAACUUGACGAAUUGGAAAUAUAGUAAUGUUAAAACGGGAUGAACUUGGCCUCUGAGCUAAUUCCCAAUGUUUGAAUGAAAUGAAAAUUCUUGUUUGUUUUUCUUCUGGAAGGGAUAUAAAAUUUCUCUUUGUCCCUCGGAACAAGUAAUGUAUCUUGUUUCCUGGGUAUGCAUUUGAGUGACUAAAGUAAACCCAUUCUUCAAUCCCUUGUUAAUCUGCACAGUGAUUUUCGAAUUGAUUUCAAGUUGGGGUACCAUUUUGGUUUUAAGUUUUAUGUUUGAAAAAUGUUUGUAACCUGUAGUCGUCCAAAAUAAAAUAAACUAAGUGACUGUGAGCCCAUCGGUUCGUAUUGAAGACGACAUGUUGAAUUUGUCAGUGUUAAUUGGUUUAUUAAAAUUUACAAGUUGUUGGUAUUGAAGAUGAAGAGUUGAAUUUGUUGGUGCUAAUUGGUUUAUUAAAAUUUUACAGGUUAUUUGUGCUAAAUAGUUGUUAGGUCUCUUCUUAUUUGGUUUUGCGAUCGCAAGUUUUUAAAAAACAAAAUUUUGAAACUAUGGAUUUGGAGAAAAUUUCCCUCAUAUUUGUUAAAUCUGUUUUAUUUCAUUUUCUGCUUGGCCCUCUAAUCUGCCCUUUUCUGGAUCCGGAAUUAGUCGUGUUGUCGUUUCUUGAAUGUUGGAAAAAGAACAUUUUCAACCUAAAUUUAACCUCUGUGUGGUAGAAGAAAUUCAAAAUUUAAAUAUUUCAAUCCCUGAUCCAAGAUAAGCUAACCCGAAACAACUCCCAGGUAAGUCCUAUUUUAAUCCUUUCUCUCAGUAAAUUUAAAAUAGAAUAGUGAUGUACUUGCUCCUCUGCUACUAAAUUCUUUUUCAAGAAAUCUGGACCUAGCUAUUGUGUUUUCACUGCUUAGUAAGUGCUCAAGUGUUCCGGUACUGACUCCAACAAGUGCUGUCUAUUAUAUUAACAAACAAGACUUCACAGCAGAUUACAGGGACUUUCAAAGGAGCUGAAUCAGGAACCUUCAGAACCUCCACAGCUGAAGAAGCAGAAGCUCUAAGUCUCCUACAAGCUACAAACUGGGCCAUCACAAAAAACCUUCAACAUCUAGUCAUUGAGGGUGACAAUCAGGCAAUCAUAAAGCACUUACAAGGGGAAAAUUCUACAAUCCAGUGGCAGAGUAUGGCAAUUUUAGAAGAAGUAAACAGGAAAACUGAACUAUUAUCUCACUUUUUGGGUUUCAACUUCGUAGAUAGGAAAGCUAACAGAGUAGCUGAUCUUUUAGAUAAGAAGGGAAGGAAGAACAAUAGACAUGAAUCUUGGCUAGAACAAUCCCCACAGUUUUUGUUUCCCUCGAUUGCUUUUGAUACUGCAAAAGCUUAUGCACGUUGUAAUAUUAGUAACUCUGCUGUAAUUUCUCGAGAAAUAACUAAUCUAGGAGAUUCAGUCAUCGGAAGAUCGAUUCACUCUGAAUUGGUCAUAGAAGAGACUGAAUCAAAUGAUUAGUUUCUUUCUGUCGUUAUCAAUCUACUUUAUCUUCAAAAAAAUAAAUUAACAGAAA